CUACGCACUCCUACGGGAGGCAGCAGUGGGGAAUUAUUGCACAAUGGGGCGCAAGCCUGAUGCAGCCAUGCCGCGUGUAUGAAGAAGGCCUUCGGGUUGUAAAGUACUUUCAGCAGUGAGGAAGGUGGAUAUGUUAAUAGCAUAUUCAUUUGACGUUAGCUGCAGAAGAAGCACCGGCUAACUCCGUGCCAGCAGCCGCGGUAAUACGGAGGGUGCGAGCGUUAAUCGGAAUUACUGGGCGUAAAGCGCAUGCAGGUGGUUUGUUAAGUCAGAUGUGAAAGCCCGGGGCUCAACCUCGGAAUUGCAUUUGAAACUGGCAAACUAGAGUACUGUAGAGGGGGUAGAAUUUCAGGUGUAGCGGUGAAAUGCGUAGAGAUCUGAAGGAAUACCGGUGGCGAAGGCGGCCCCCUGGACAGAUACUGACACUCAGAUGCGAAAGCGUGGGGAGCAAACAGGAUUAGAUACCCUGGUAG
rnacentral:rRNA from 1 species